rnacentral:rRNA from 1 species
CAGCCGCCGCGGUAAUACCGGCGGCCCGAGUGGCGGCCACUAUUAUUGGGCUUAAAGCGUCCGUAGCCGGGUUGGUUAGUCUCCCGGGAAAUCUGGCCGCUUAACGGUCAGAAUUCCGGGAGAUACUGCCAGCCUAGGGACCGGGAGAGGCCGAGGGUAUUCCCGGAGUAGGGGUGAAAUCCUAUAAUCCCGGGAGGACCACCUGUGGCGAAGGCGCUCGGCUGGAACGGGUCCGACGGUGAGGGACGAAGGCCAGGGGAGCAAACCGGAUUAGAUACCCGGGUAGUCCUGGCUGUAAACGAUGCGGGCUAGGUGUCGGGUGAGCUUCGGGCUCGCCCGGUGCCGUAGGGAAGCCGUUAAGCCCGCCGCCUGGGGAGUACGGCCGCAAGGCUGAAACUUAAAGGAAUUGGCGGG